GAUGAACGCUGGCGGCGUGCCUAAUACAUGCAAGUCGAGCGAACGGACGAGAAGCUUGCUUCUCUGAUGUUAGCGGCGGACGGGUGAGUAACACGUGGAUAACCUACCUAUAAGACUGGGAUAACUUCGGGAAACCGGAGCUAAUACCGGAUGAUAUUUUGAACCGCAUGGUUCAAAGGUGAAAGACGGUCUUGCUGUCACUUAUAGAUGGAUCCGCGCUGCAUUAGCUAGUUGGUAAGGUAACGGCUUACCAAGGCAACGAUGCAUAGCCGACCUGAGAGUGUGAUCGGCGACCCUGGAACUGAGACACGGUCCAGACUCCUACGGGAGGCAGCAGUAGGGAAUGUUCCGCAAUGGGCGAAAGCCUGACGGAGCAACGCCGCGUGAGUGAUGAAGGUCUUCGGAUCGUAAAGCUCUGUUAUGGGGGAAGAACAGAUGUGUAAGUAACUGUGGAGAUCUUGACGGUACCUAAUCAAAAAGCAACGGCUAACUACGUG
rnacentral:rRNA from 1 species